rnacentral:rRNA from 1 species
AGCAGUAGCCACGGGAAUACAGAGGGUGCGAGCGUUAAUCGGAUUUACUGGGCGUAAAGCGUGCGUAGGCGGCUUUUUAAGUCGGAUGUGAAAUCCCCGAGCUUAACUUGGGAAUUGCAUUCGAUACUGGGAAGCUAGAGUAUGGGAGAGGAUGGUAGAAUUCCAGGUGUAGCGGUGAAAUGCGUAGAGAUCUGGAGGAAUACCGAUGGCGAAGGCAGCCAUCUGGCCUAAUACUGACGCUGAGGUACGAAAGCAUGGGGAGCAAACAGGAUUAGAUACCCCAGUAGUCCCUGUCUCUUAUAA